AGCGAACGCUAGCGGCGGGCUUAACACAUGCAAGUCGAGCGCGUGGCUUCGGCCACGAGCGGCGAACGGGUGAGUAACACGUAGGUCAUCUGCCCUUUGGUGGGGAAUAACCCGAGGAAACUCGGGCUAAUACCGCAUACUGCCUUCGGGUCAAAGGCUUCGGCCGCCAGAGGAUGAGCCUGCGUCGCAUUACCUAGUUGGUGGGGUAAUGGCCCACCAAGGGGACGAUGCGUAGCUGGUCUGAGAGGAUGAUCAGCCACACUGGGACUGAGACACGGCCCAGACUCCUACGGGAGGCAGCAGUGGGGAAUAUUGCGCAAUGGGGGAAACCCUGACGCAGCCACGCCGCGUGGGUGAUGAAGGCCUCGGUUGUAAGCCCUGUCGGGGGGACGAAGUACUGACGGUACCCGUCCAACGAAAGCACCGGCUAACUCCGUGCCAGCAGCCGCGGUAA
rnacentral:rRNA from 1 species